rnacentral:rRNA from 1 species
UACCAGCACCCCCGAGUGGUCGGGACGAUUAUUGGGCCUAAAGCAUCCGUAGCCGGUCUUGCAAGUCUUCCGUUAAAUCCACCUGCUUAACAGAUGGGCUGCGGAAGAUACUACAAGACUAGGAGGCGGGAGAGGCAAGCGGUACUCAGUGGGUAGGGGUAAAAUCCUCUGAUCCACUGAAGACCACCAGUGGCGAAGGCGGCUUGCCAGAACGCGCUCGACGGUGAGGGAUGAAAGCUGGGGGGAGCAAACCGG